CUCACUGCAACCCCCAUCUCCUGGUUUCAAGCGAUUCUCUUGCCUCAGCCUUCCUAGUAGCUGGGAUUACAGGCACACACCACCAUGCCCAGAUAAUUUUUGUAUUUUUAGUAGAAACAUGGGGUUUCGCCAUGUUGGCCAGGCUGGUCUCAAACUCCUGACCUCAAGUGAUCUGCCCGCCUCAGCCUCCCAAAGUGCUGGGAUUACAGGUGUGAGCCACCACGCCGGGCCAAAAAACAACUUUCAAACACAGAAAGGGGAAUAAGUAGAAGUGAAAGUUCCCCAGCUUCCCACAGUCUGGUCUGGGGUGUGUUCUUCGGCUUUUACACAAACACAAACAUAUCUAUUCUUGUUCUUUUUCUAUAAAAGUUGGGUCAUAGCAGGUACGUGGUUCUGAUACUCUCUUUCAUAUUGUCUGCUGUGCUAAAAUAAACCCUCUCCACUGUCCCAAACCUUCAGCAACAUCCUGCUACUUGCCUUGUGCUGUUUAUGCUCUUUGGACCAGCUGCUUGAGAGUUUUCUGUCAGUGAAAGGAAGAAAUUAUAGUUUCACCUCACUACAAUCAUAUCGUAAUAACAGCUACUGCUUAUGGUACCCCUACUGUGUCUGGCAGUCUCUUUGGUGCUUUACUUGAAUUCUCAUACCCAUUCCUCACAACAACCCCUUGGAAGUCAGUCCCACUAUUAUCCUAUGUGGGUUCACAGAUGAAAACUCAAGGCCCAAAAGGUAAUGAGUGGGAAGUUAAGGAGAAAAGCACAUAUACUGGAGGCAGGACUUGGGCAUUCAGCAUCUCCUUAAAUCUUUACAAUGACCUUAAGAGGGAGCUGUCACCACAAAUGAGGACACUGAGGCUGCAGAGUUCACAGAGCAAGCAGCAUUCCUGUUCUCUGCCAGGAUGAAGCCACUGAGAGUUCGUAAGUACAUCCAUCCCUUUCCGUAAAACUUGAUGAAAGAAAGCUAGCAAAGAUCUGAAAACAUGGAGAUACACGCAGUGCUCAGUGACUGCAAAACUCAAUAUAAUAAAGAUGUCAAUUUUCCCCACAGUUAUCUAUGGAUUUAACAUAAUUACUAUCAAAAUCCCAGAGGGAUUUUUCAUAGAUACACACAAGCUGGCCCAGCAUGGUGGCUCAUGCCUGUAAUCCCAGCACUUUGGGAGGUUGAGGCGAGAGGAUCACUUGAGGCCAGGAGUUUGAGACCAGCCUAGGUAACAUUACAAGACCCAGUCUCUAUACAAAAAAAUUAAAAAUUAGCCAGGUAUGGUGGCACAUGCCUGCAGUCUUAGCUACUUGGGAGGCUGAGGUGGGAGGAUCGUUUUAGCCCAGGAGUUCGAGGCUGCAGUGAGCUACGAUCACAUCACUGCACUCCAGUCUGGGCAAAAGCACUUGUUAGGAGGAGAUAGAAAAGGAAAAGAAACUCUCAAAAUUCAACAGUAAAAAAGACAUAAAUAUUCCAUUAGAAGGCCUGGCACAGUGGCUCACACCUGUAUUCCCAGCACUUUGGGAGGCUAAGGUGAGAGCAUCACUUGAGGCCAGGGGUUUGAGAUAAGCCUGGGCAACAUAGUGAGACCCCAUCUCUAAAAAAAAUUAAAACAUUAGUCAGGUAUGGUGGUGCACAUCUGUGGUCCUGGGUACUCAGGAGGCUGAGGCAGGAGGAUUACUUGAGUCCACAUCAAAGCUUCAGUGAGACAUGAUUGUGCCACUGCACUCCAAUCUGGGUGACAGAGUGAGACCCUGUCUCCAAAAAAAAAGUAAAAAAUAGAUUCCAUUAGAAAAUGAGCAUGAACAUGAAUAGAAUUUCACCAAAAAGAAUACGCAGAUGGCAAAGAACAUGAAAAACAUGUUCAACAUCAUUAGUCACUAAGGAAAUGCAAAUUAAAACCACAAUAAGCUAAGCUAUCAUUGUACACCUAUAAGAAUGGCUAAAAUAAAAAACAGUAAUACCAAAUGUUCACAAGGAUGUAGAAAAAAUGGAUCUCUCAUACAAUGAUGUUAGGAAUAUAAAAUGGUAAGGCUCUGGAAAUCAUUCUGGCAAUUUCCUAUGAGACUAAACAUGUACUUAUCAUAUGACCCUGCAAGUGCAUUCCUGGGCAUUUAUCCCAGAGAAAUGAAAACUUAUAGUCACACAAAAACCUGCAUGCUGAUGUUCACAGCAACUUUAUCUGUAAUUGCAAAACGAGGAAACAACCCAAAUGUCCUUCAACUAGUAAUUGGAUAAAGAAAUUCUGGUCUAUCCACCCAAGGGAAUACUACUCAGUUGGAACAAAUUACUGAUACACACAACAACCCAGAUAUGACUCAAAAGGAUUACAUUUGGUGAAGAACGUCAAUCCCAAAAGACUACAUUGUAUAGGACUCUAUUUAUGUAACAUUCUCGAAAUUAGAAAAUUUUAGAGAUACAGAACAGAUUAAUCAUUGCCAGGGAGCAAGGAUGGGGCAGGGUGGGUAUGAUUAUGAAGGGGAAGCACAAGGGAGGUCCUAUUGAACAGUUUUAUAUCAUGACUGUGGUGGUUGUUAAACAAAUCUAUACAUGGGAUAAGACCACACAGAAAAACACACACACAUAAAAAUGCAUGUAAAAUGGUGGAAAUUAGGUCUAUAUUCUAGUUAACAAUCUUGUAAUAAUUUCCUGGAUUUGAUAUUGUACUAUAAUAACGUAAGGUGCCACCGUUAGAGGAAGCGUGGUUUCAGGUACAUGGGACUCUGUACUUUUGCAACUUCCUUGUGAGUCUAUAAUUACCUUAAAAUAAUUUUUAAAAAUAACUAGCGUGGGGCUGGGUGUGGUGGCUCACGCCUGUAAUCCCAGCACUUUAGGAGGCCAAGGUGGGCAGAUAACUUGAGGUCAGGAGUUCGAGACCAGCCUGGCCAAUAUGGUGAAACCGAGUCUUUACUAAAAAUACAAAAAUUAGCUUGGCAUGGUGGCACAUGCCUGUAAUCCCAGCUACUCAGGAGGCUGAGGCUCAAGAAUGGCUUGAACUGGUGAGGUGGAGAUUGCAGUGAGCUGAGAUCACGCCACUGCACUCCAGCCUGGGUGAUAGAGCUAGACUCUGUCUCAAAAAAAACAAAAAAACAAACAAAAAAAAAACUAGUGUGGGAUUCCAGGGUGGCAGAAAGUAGCCUUGGCGAAUUUCUUUGCUAGACUUGUUUUUCCUGUGUUAGCUGUCUUCCGUGCACAGCUGGGGUAGUUUAAAAAUUCCUCCUCCUUUUGACAAGUUUUACAAACAGUGCUAAAAAGAAGUGUAUCAGUGCUUCUUUGUAAAAAGCAUUAUUAUGUUUUCUAAAGUGACAGUUAUUUUAAUAAUAUAUUUACAAAUAAAAAUUAUAUACAGAUGGUGAAAAUAUUAGUACUUUUAGACCCUAAAGAGCUUUUGCUAAUGUAGGUUACAGAUCUAUCAAUAUUUAUUAUAUUAGAAAUCAAAACUGAAAAAUUUUAAAAUUUGUAUUAAUGUAUUUAAAAUAAAUCCACUGAUUAUCGUAAAUAAAAUUUUAUUAAAAUAAUUGCAUUUUCAGAAACAAAGAAUUUAGGAAUGUUUUACGUUUCUGAAAAUCUCUUAAAUGUCUGCCUCAGUACAAGACAGCUAGAUUCCCAUAUUUGCUUCUGCAUUUAAUGUUGUAACAUGCUGUUUUGGAUAAAGUAUAUGAAGACAAAUCCAACCUCAUGGAGAUAUGUAGUUGGAAAAAGGAUUUCCCAGUCACCUGAAAGGGUCUGUCUCAGGUGUCUCCAGGACUCCUCACACUACACUUUAAGAACCAAUAUGUUAGAGAGACAUAAUGAAACAUUUUCAGAUAAAAUGUUAAGAUGUCAGCAAUUUGCACUAAAGUACUCCAAAACACACACACACAUAAACAGACACAGACACACACACGUACACACACACACACACACACCCAUGUAUGUAUAGUUGAUUCAUUAUUUGUGGUAGUUAUAUUCUAUAAAGUCACCUCAAGCAAUGAAUUACCAAAUACCAAGCCACUGCUCCUAGUGGAAAUACAGGUUUAGAUUCCUGGGAGCCUCUGGUUGCAUUCCUUAAAAUGAUCAAUACACAACCUUGUUUUAUGUAUGCUUCUGUCUAAAGACACCUUCUUUAAUAUAUAUUUCUUAAAAUAAUAAAUUAUAUGCAGUAUUUUAUAGUAAAACAUUAGCCAAGAAGGGUUUAACAUUUUCCUGAUCCUGGGUUAACAUAACCAUAAAUUUCUUUGGUUUUCAAAAGCCUCACAACCAUGCUGUCCACUAUGCUUUUUCUAAUCAGUAGUUAUGAAUCCACAAAUUUUGCUGCUUUUCCAUUUAUUCCAUACCUUCAUCACACACUAAAGAUGUUAUUUUAGCACCAUACAGAGCGUCUUCACAUAUAGACUGGCAAGCCUUUCCUAUUCCUUUUUCUGGAUGUACUGUGUUGCUGAUUUAUUAACAUUGAACUCACAGCAGACAGCGUUAUAACUCAUGCCUGAUGGAAGCCUAUCUAACACAUGUAUUUUCCUCUACAGGGCACAUCACUGCCUUCUGGCUCUUAGAAACACUAGGCAGUACUUCAGCACUAUGAUUGGGGGACAUUUUAAACAGCAAAAUCACCAAAAAAGCCACAAAAAUAUGGCACUAGAUCGACUACGAAAAGAACACUUGCUUACAGUAUGAGAGCAGAAACAAGAACAUUGCCUUUUCUAACCUCAGCUGGGAACACUGAGUGCCUGACAACUAAAUUGUUUUGCCACUCUGUGCAGGUCUAUGAAUGACUAUUGAAAGCACUGCAAGUAUCGAUUUGGGGUUAUAGAUAAGUCUGAAGUAAGUGAACUUGCAAAUAUGAAAUCUGUGAAUAAUAAUAAUAAACUUUUUAUAUAUGUAUAUAUAUAUAACUACAUUUAUAUAUAUAAGAAUCAACUAUAUAUAUAAAUAUAUAUGUAGUUUUAUU
rnacentral:lncRNA from 10 species